UACAGAGGUCUCAACCGUUGUUCGGAUUCAUUGGGCGUAAAGGGUGCGUAGGCGGUCGCGCAAGUCGGGCGUGAAAUCCCUGGGCUCAACCCAGGAACUGCACUCGAAACUCCCGGUCUUGAGUGGUGGAGAGGGAAGUGGAAUUCCUGGUGUAGAGGUGAAAUUCGUAGAUAUCAGGAGGAACACCAGUGGCGAAGGCGGCUUCCUGGACACCAACUGACGCUGAGACGCGAAAGCGUGGGGAGCAAACGGG
rnacentral:rRNA from 1 species